rfam:Arabidopsis lyrata subsp. lyrata unplaced genomic scaffold ARALYscaffold_2, whole genome shotgun sequence.
AAGAAUGAGGAAGACGAUAAGGAAUUGGAAGUUCCGGUGAUGUGAAAAACUCAGGUGAAGAAGAAGAGUUGAAAAAAUUUGACGUUUCAUAUUUCCUUUGAUGAUGAUGACAU